rnacentral:misc_RNA from 1 species
ACCGAUCCCAGUACGAGUAAAAAGCGACACAAGAACACUCUUUUCCAUGAUCGGAAGACUCCGAAUGCCAUCCUGCAAUAAUAAAUCCCUCUUACGGUGCAAUCUUCACCAGGAGUAACCGUACAAUUACAUACUCCGCCGACUUGCGCCAAGAGACAGAGCCCAACAGAGGUCGUCUCCAUGUAUGUCGACGUCAUGCCAAUGACCGUUGGGGAGCCACUGAACAAUUUGAACAUUUCGAAACAUAUUCUUGGAGACAUCGGGGCUUAUGUAAGCUGGCGUUCUUCUCCACUCCCAUUAGCCGCUGUGGGGAAGUGCAUAUUCAGUGGGACCAUGAAGGGGGACUUCUAGCGUGAAGAUCGACCACGGACUAAAUGAGAGGAGAAUGGGGUCCUGAGGUACAUAGUCCUGGGAUUCAUCGUACUAUGGAGAUAUCACACGGAAACUAAAAUACUGUAGCUACAGUACUGUAGAAGAAAAAAAAAACACCACAUUCCA